GGAGAAAUGGCAGAGUGGUCGAUUGCGGCAGUCUUGAAAACUGUUGAACCGUGAGGUUCCUGGGGUUCGAAUCCCUAUUUCUCCG
rnacentral:tRNA from 4 species